rnacentral:rRNA from 1 species
CCCAAUGCUAUCGAGGUGGGACUAAGCCAUGCUAGUCGAACGACCCCGGACCACGGCGGGGAAGUGGCGGACUGCUCAGUAACACGUAGCUAACCUACCCUCGGGACGGAGACAACCCCGGGAAACUGGGGCUAAUCCCCGAUAGGCGUGGAGGCCUGGAAUGGUUCCACGCCCAAAGGUCUGCGCGCCCAUGUCGCGCGCCGACGCCCGAGGAUGGGGCUGCGGCCGAUCAGGCUGUUGGUGAGGUAAAGGCUCACCAAACCUUUGACCGGUACGGGCCGUGAGAGCGGUAGCCCGGAGAUGGGCACUGAGACAGGGGCCCAGGCCCUACGGGGCGCAGCAGGCGCGAAACCUCCACAAUGCACGCAAGUGCGAUGGGGCUACCUCGAGUGCCGCCUGAAGAAGGCGGCUUUUCCACGGUGUAAUGAGCCGUGGGAAUAAGAGGGGGGCAAGACUGGUGUCAGCCGCCGCGGUAACACCAGCCCCUCGAGUUGUGGGGACGUUUAUUUGGCCUAAAGCGUCCGUAGCCGGCCCGGUAAGUCCCUCGUUAAAUCCAGCGUCCCAAGCGCUGGGCCGCGAGGGAGACUGCCAGGCUAGAGGGUGGAAGAAGUCAGCGGUAUUCCUGGGGUAGGGGCGAAAUCCUUUGAUCCCAGGAGGACCACCAGUGGCGAAGGCUGCUGACUAGUACACGCCUGACGGUCAGGGACGAAAGCUGGGGGAGCGAAUCGGAUUAGAUACCCGAGUAGUCCCAGCCGUAAACGAUGCAGGCUAGGUGUUGGGGCGGCCACGCGCCGCCUCAGUGCCACAGGGAAGCCAUUAAGCCUGCCGCCUGGGAAGUACGGCCGCAAGGCUGAAACUUAAAGGAAUUGGCGGGGAGCACAACCAGGCGUGAAGCCUGCGGUUUA